rnacentral:lncRNA from 1 species
CAUAGAUCCCCUAUCAGCCCCAUAACCCACAGCCAGCCCCAUAGAUCUCACCCUCAGAUCCCUUACCAGCCCCACAGAUCCCCUACAGGCCCCAUAGAUUCCCUACCAGCCCCAUAGAUUCUCUAUCAGCCCCAUAGAUCCCCUAUGUCCAGUAGGGGUUAAUGGGGGUGUUUUGUAUUGGGGUCGGGGGGUGAGUGAGUGGUCAUUGGGGUCUAAUGGCGGUUUGUGGGAGGGGUCUGGGGGGUAUCAAUAGGGACUUAUGGGGUGUGUGGGGCUCAUCUUUAUUGGGGUCUAUGGGGUCUGUAGGGUGAAUAUUUUUAGGGCUCCGUGCGUCUGAUCUGUGGGGUGAGUAUCUAUAUGGGUUGGGGGGGGGGUGAGUGUCUAUGGGGCCCAUAGGGUUGGAUCUAUGGGGUUGGAUCUAUGGGGCCCAUAGGGUUGGAUCUAUGGGGUUGGAUCUAUGGGGCCCAUGGGGUUGGAUCUAUGGGGCCCAUUAGAUUAAAUCUAUGGGGCCCAUUUGGGGUUGGAUCUAUGGGGCCCAUUAGGUUAAAAUGUAUUGGGGCCCAUUGGGGCUUGGAUCUAAUUGGGGCCCAUGCGGGUUGGAUUCUUAUGGGGGCUCAUUGGGUUGGAUCUAUGGGGCCCUAUUAGAUGAAUUCUAUGGGGGCCCAUUUGGAUUGGAUCUAUGGGGCCCAUUAGAUUAAAUCUCUA